AAAAUAUCAAAUAACUCUGAAGAGACAGUUUUAGAUGGAGUUUUGUGUGUGGAUUCAUGGCCUAUGUCAAACAUACAGCAGCUGCAUAUGGUCCAAUCUGCUCUGCAGUUCGUGCAUGACCACUGGUUAAUCUGGCAGUGCAGGAACACACAUUUUAAAAAGCAGGUUCUGGAAUCAGCCUCAGGGCAAUUUCCUAAAGGUGACUGAGAAAAUCAAGCCCAUUCACGGUAGGUUUGAAUUUAUUGCUCAUGGGCUCCCCCCUCCUCUAGGAAAAAAAAA